AGGUGCGAUCAUACUAGCAGUAAUGCACUGGAUCCCAUCAGAACUCCGCAGACAAGUGUGCUUGUGCGAGACUAGUACUAGGAUGGGUGACCUCCUGGGAAGUCCUCGUGUUGCACUUC
rnacentral:rRNA from 1 species